AAAACACUAGUAAAAUACCUAUUACAUUGCCAUGUCAGGGCUACAUUGUGGGUUAAACCCCCACGUGUUUUA
rnacentral:tRNA from 3 species